UCGAGGAUCUUCGGCAAUGAGCGCAAGCUUGACCGAGCGACGCCGCGUGUGCGACGAAGGCCUUCGGGUUGUAAAGCACUGUCGGGGGGGAGAAAACCGGGAAACCGGCUGAUCUAUCCCCGGAGGAAGCACGGGCUAAGUUCGUGCCAGCAGCCGCGGUAAGACGAACCGUGCGAACGUUGUUCGGAAUCACUGGGCUUAAAGGGCGCGUAGGCGGGUCGCCGCGUCCGGGGUGAAAUCCUCCGGCCCAACCGGAGAACGGCCUCGGAUACGGGCGACCUCGAGGGGGGUAGGGGCUCGCGGAACUGUGGGUGGAGCGGUGAAAUGCGUUGAUAUCCACAGGAACUCCGGCGGCGAAGGCGGCGGGCUGGACCUUUUCUGACGCUGAGGCGCGAAAGCCAGGGGAGCGAACGG
rnacentral:rRNA from 1 species